rnacentral:rRNA from 1 species
UACGAGGGGGGCGAGCGUUGUUCGGAAUUAUUGGGCGUAAAGGGUGCGUAGGCGGUUCGGUAAGUUUCGUGUGAAAUCUUCGGGCUCAACUCGAAGUCUGCACGAGGUACUGCCGGGCUUGAGUGUGGGAGAGGUGAGUGGAAUUUCCGGUGUAGCGGUGAAAUGCGUAGAUAUCGGAAGGAACACCUGUGGCGAAAGCGGCUCACUGGACCAUAACUGACGCUGAGGCACGAAAGCUAGGGGAGCAAACAGG